GUGUCAGCAGCCGCGGUAAGACGUAGGGGGCGAGCGUUGUCCGGAUUCAUUGGGCGUAAAGCGCGCGUAGGCGGCCCGGUAAGUCGGAUGUGAAAUCUCACGGCUCAACCGUGGAACUGCAUUCGAAACUGUCGGGCUAGAGGCAGGUAGGGGAGAUCGGAAUUCCCGGUGUAGCGGUGAAAUGCGCAGAUAUCGGGAGGAACACCGGUGGCGAAGGCGGAUCUCUGGGCCUGUCCUGACGCUCAGGCGCGAAAGCUAGGGGAGCGAACAGGAUUAGAUACCCUGGUAGUCC
rnacentral:rRNA from 1 species